rnacentral:rRNA from 1 species
AUGCCCAUAAUUGCACCCGUCGCAAAUAAUGGUGGCUCUCGUCGCUCUCUAAGCUGGUUCGUCGGUGGAGGUGCCCCCAUCAGCGCAGCACCCUGGAGUAGUGGGGUGGGGGAAGAACCCACGCCCGUCGUGCGGCCUCGCCGUGCUGUCACGGGCCACCAUUAUUUGCGACGCCUGCGAACGUGGGUUCCCCGAAUCCUGCAUCCACAUCUUUGGUCCGCUUAUGCGCCAGCCUCCACCACCACCGCUGCCCAGCCGCCCUGGUGUGCGGGUGCGGCGGCCUACGGUAGCGGUGACCCAGGACUGGAUGGGCAAGAGGGGUCAAAUUCUGGUCAAAAUUGUGAUGCAGGUAGUAUGGGUGAUGAAAUUGUGUCAAAAUCAAAGGAGCCAGCCCCUGAUACUGAUACUACUUCCUGUGAGGAAGCAUCAUCUUCAACAGCAGUCAAACCAACAAGAUUGCUGGCUGUUAACGGUGGCUUGGUUCUGGAGUCAUCACUGAGGCCGGUUACAGGAAGAAACUCUCAUAUCCUGAAGCAACAAAAGAUAAAUUUGCUUAAUAUAGAAGCAGCGUUGCCUGAGGAAGCUUUCAGAGCCUCAAAGUCUCAACAAAUGAGAAGGCGUUCAUGGCGUUCUUUUGUGAAGCGUGCAGAAUCAAUCUCCGAGAUGGUACUGGCGACCAGCAUGUUGGAGAGAGCGAUAAAAUCCGAAUUCUUGAAGAAUGAUUGUAUGUACUGGUCCUCCUUCACAGUAGCUAUCAAGACCUCAACUCUAUCCUCGCUCGCUCUCAGGAUAUACACUCUCCGCGACUGUAUCAUGUACACCAAGGAGCCUAACAUCGUGCUGGCGACAAAGGUUGUAAACAUGGGGAGGACAAGGAAAGAACCAGAACCAUCGGUGUCAUAA